CCUCACGGUUAUUGACCGUUACCUGGGUGUGACACACAGGCCAGCAGUGAGGGAGAGAAAGAAGGCCCCCCAGGGAAGCUCAGAGAAGAGGGAAGGUCGCCCAGAGUUGCAACAUAGUGCAACAAGAGUUGUGAUGAUGAAAGUGAAGACACCCAUCCUUCUUUGGGAGGGUCAAGGAAGGCCUCCCGGAAGGACCCCUCCUUCACACAGCAGAGCUUCUGGACAGUAGAGCUGAGGAAAGCAUGUCUACCUGCAUCUACAUAUCUGGUUACAGGAUCUACCCAGAGAUAGAACCUGAUGGACAAAGAGACAAAAACUCCUGCUGGAAAUCACAGUAUGAGAAGUUACUACGUCAGACCUCAAAGAAAGAAUGCAGUCAAACCUCCAUAAGAAGGACCUUACAAGGUACUGUUAACAACUAACACAACAGGGAACCCAUGCCUCCCAAGUCAAAAGGCAUAAGCCACACGAAAUCCCUGGGAGGCUGUCCUGAGACCUCACACAGAGAAAUCUGAGGAAUCAUUCCAGAACAGAUAACAGCAGGAAGUUGCACCUCCCACCCAAGACCAUUGGGACCGCACUGGUAACCACAGGAAGUGCCGCCUUCCCUCAAGAUCCACCAGACAAGACCACCAGAGCCACCCGCUGCGGCGCUUUAACCUGCACGUGCUUUUGCUCUUUUCCUUUGUUCUUUCCUCUCUGCAAAGUUAAGGUUUCAGUUGUUAACACUUCUUGUCUGUUAACCAGGAUACCUCCAAGGUCUUUAUCUUUAAUACUCUUUGUUUAUUUGUUUGUUUUUUUACCUUAGUCACUCCUCGGUACGAGUCCAGUGCCCGGCUACAACAUGCAAUUAAUUACACUGUC